CAAUAGCGUAUAUUUAAGUUGUUGCAGUUAAAAAGCUCGUAGUUGGAUUUCGGGUUGGCUUCAGCGGUCUCGCUUUGCGUUUGUACUGCCGCAGCCUUCCUUCUUGCUGGGGACGGUCCUCCGGGCUUCAUUGCUUGGGGUCUGGAAUCAGCGACGUUACUUUGAGUAAAUUAGAGUGUUCGAAGCAAGCCUACGCUCUGAAUAUAAUAGCAUGGGAUAACACGACAGGACUCUGGCCUACCGUGUUGGUCUGUAGGACCAGAGUAAUGAUUAAGAGGGACAGUCGGGGGCAUUCGUAUUCCGUUGUCAGAGGUGAAAUUCUUGGAUUUACGGAAGACGAACAUCUGCGAAAGCAUUUGCCAAGGAUGUUUUCAUUGA
rnacentral:rRNA from 1 species